rnacentral:rRNA from 1 species
CCUACGGGUGGCAGCAGUGAGGAAUAUUGGUCAAUGGGCGUAAGCCUGAACCAGCCAAGUCGCGUGAGGGAUGAAGGUUCUAUGGAUCGUAAACCUCUUUUAUAAGGGAAUAAAGUGUGGGACGUGUCCUGUUUUGUAUGUACCUUAUGAAUAAGGAUCGGCUAACUCCGUGCCAGCAGCCGCGGUAAUACGGAGGAUCCGAGCGUUAUCCGGAUUUAUUGGGUUUAAAGGGUGCGUAGGCGGCCUUUUAAGUCAGCGGUGCAAGUCUGUGGCUCAACCAUAGAAUUGCCGUUGAAACUGGGAGGCUUGAGUAUGUUUGAGGCAGGCGGAAUGCGUGGUGUAGCGGUGAAAUGCUUAGAUAUCACGCAGAACCCCGCUUGCGAAGGCAGCCUGCCAAGCCAUGCCUGACGCUGAUGCACGACAGCGUGGGGAUCAAACAGGAUUAGAUACCCCGGUAGUC